GCACAACGCGAAGAACCUUACCUACCCUUGACAUGUCUGGAAUCCUUAAGAGAUUAGGGAGUGCUCGCAAGAGAACCGGAACACAGGUGCUGCAUGGCUGUCGUCAGCUCGUGUCGUGAGAUGUUGGGUUAAGUCCCGCAACGAGCGCAACCCUUGUCAUUAGUUGCUACGAAAGGGCACUCUAAUGAGACUGCCGGUGACAAACCGGAGGAAGGUGGGGAUGACGUCAAGUCCUCAUGGCCCUUAUGGGUAGGGCUUCACACGUCAUACAAUGGUCGGGACAGAGGGCUGCCAACCCGCGAGGGGGAGCCAAUCCCAGAAACCCGAUCGUAGUCCGGAUUGCAGGCUGCAACUCGCCUGCAUGAAGUCGGAAUCGCUAGUAAUCGCGGAUCAGAAUGUCGCGGUGAAUACGUUCCCGGGUC
rnacentral:rRNA from 1 species